rnacentral:rRNA from 1 species
AACGAACGCUGGCGGCAUGCUUAACGCAUGCAAGUCGAACGGACAUAUGGGGCUUGCUUCAUAUGUUAGUGGCAGACGGGUGAGUAACGCGUGGGAACGUACCCAAUGGACUGGAAUAACAAUUGGAAACGAUUGCUAAUACGAGAUAAGCCCGAGAGGGGAAAGAUUUAUCGCCAUUGGAGCGGCCCGCGUGAGAUUAGGUAGUUGGUGAGGUAAAGGCUCACCAAGCCGAUGAUAUAUAGCUGGUUUGAGAGGAUGAUCAGCCACACUGGGACUGAGACACGGCCCAGACUCCUACGGGAGGCAGCAGUGGGGAAUAUUGGACAAUGGGCGAAAGCCUGAUCCAGCAAUGCCGCGUGAAUGAUGAAGGCCUUCGGGUUGUAAAGUUCUUUUGUGGAUGACGAUAAUGACGGUAGUCCACGAAUAAGCCCCGGCUAACUUCGUGCCAGCCGCCGCCGUAA